rnacentral:rRNA from 1 species
GGUGGCGAGUGGCGAACGGGUGAGUAAUGCAUCGGAACGUGCCCAACUGUGGGGGAUAGCUCGGCGAAAGCCGGAUUAAUACCGCAUACGAUCCACGGAUGAAAGCGGGGGACCUUCGGGCCUCGCGCAGUUGGAGCGGCCGAUGUUAGAUUAGGUAGUUGGUGGGGUAAAGGCUCACCAAGCCGACGAUCUAUAGCUGGUCUGAGAGGACGACCAGCCACACUGGGACUGAGACACGGCCCAGACUCCUACGGGAGGCAGCAGUGGGGAAUUUUGGACAAUGGGCGCAAGCCUGAUCCAGCAAUACCGCGUGCAGGAAGAAGGCCUUCGGGUUGUAAACUGCUUUUGUACGGAACGAAAAGGUCUGGGUUAAUACCCUGGGCUCAUGACGGUACCGUAAGAAUAAGCACCGGCUAACUACGUGCCAGCAGCCGCGGUAAUACGUAGGGUGCAAGCGUUAAUCGGAAUUACUGGGCGUAAAGCGUGCGCAGGCGGUUAUGUAAGACAGGCGUGAAAUCCCCGGGCUCAACCUGGGAAUUGCGCUUGUGACUGCAUAACUAGAGUACGGUAGAGGGGGAUGGAAUUCCGCGUGUAGCAGUGAAAUGCGUAGAUAUGCGGAGGAACACCAAUGGCGAAGGCAGUCCCCUGGACCUGUACUGACGCUCAUGCACGAAAGCGUGGGGAGCAAACAGGAUUAGAUACCCUGGUAGUCCACGCCCUAAACGAUGUCAACUGGUUGUUGGGUAUUUACUUACUCAGUAACGAAGCUAACGCG